GGGCUUUAUUUAUUGGAAAAUGGUUACUUUGAACUUAACUUUAGGGUGUUCGAAUCACUCGAAAGCUUA
rnacentral:tRNA from 1 species